rnacentral:lncRNA from 1 species
CCCAGAUUCAGCUCCGUUCCUCAAAGAGCAUGCAGUCUUGCGCAUGGAUAACUAUGGCACUUCAUAGUUAGGGCCUGGGGCCCCCACGAAGGCUGAGAGCCACCCUUUCACAUUUAAGAGGCUGAGAUGCUGUGUCUCCCUGACUAGAGCAGCCUCAGGUUGGGGUGAGUGGAAGUCAUAACGCCACAGAAAUGUCACAGCCAAGGGAGGGACCUGUGGGCUCUUCUCCUUUCACUAUUGGCCAUGGCUAAACUGUGGAGCUUCUAAAUUCACACACGCCACCAGACACUGGGAACGUCCUGACGGGCAUAGAAGAGGAGUACAACAACACUCAGAUGUGGCCCUGGCCUGAGCUGCCCCCCGCUGCUCUUCUGUGUCUCAGUCAAGCCGAGCAGACCUCAGCAGGGGAGCGAGAAGCUGAGAGAAAUCUCCUUAAUGAGUUGAUGUUCAACUCUCCUCAACAAAAAACACUUCCCAGAUGUUUCCAGGACCUGGCAAGUCUUCAGUCACAAAGUGAGGGAUGAUCUCACACCUGCAGGAGAACGGAACUAUAUAGCCUGACCUCUCUGGAUUAUGCUUUUCAAGUUGUUCAAGGGCCACCUGGAAUAACCCUUGUCUCAGCUGUGCUGAAGGCUCACAGGCAGUACUUAUUGUGAGGCAAUAUGUUUACCCCACCCAAGUCAUAGGUCAUGGCAAAUGUGAUGGGUUGAAUUGUAUCCCCCCAAAAGACUCGCUGAAGUCCUAAUGCCCAAUACCUAUGAAUGUGACCUUAUUUGGAACAAGGGUCUUUGCCGACGCAAUCGUGUUAAGAUGAGGGUGUAUUGAGUGAGUGUAGGCCCUUAAUCCAAUGUGACUGGUGUCCUUAUAGGAGGAGGGCAGUUUGGACACAGACACCAACAAAGGGUAGAACACCGUGUGAAGUCAGAGCAGAGCAGACUGGAAAGAUACAGCUGCAAGCCAAGGAACAGCAAGGAUUGCCAGCUGCCAUCAGAAGCCAGGAAGCAGCAAGGAAUGAUUCUACCCCAUCUCAGUGAGAGCAUGGCCCUACUGACUCCUUGACUUCAGACUUCUGCCUGGAGGAAUCAUUAAGAGAAUAAAUUCCUGAUGUUUUAAACCCA